CAUUAUUUACAUUUGACGGAUAUUUGUUCUCAGCUUGUUUGAUUUUAACAACAAACAAGAUGAGGACAAAUAUCCGUCAAAUGUAAAUAAUG
rnacentral:pre_miRNA from 1 species